GUAGAGCAGCCCGGUAGCUCGUCAGGCUCAUAACCUGAAGGUCAUAGGUUCAAAUCCUAUCCCCGCAACCA
rnacentral:tRNA from 1 species